rnacentral:rRNA from 1 species
GAUCCAGAGUACCACGAGACACGUGAAACCUUGUGGGAAGCAGGGAGGACCACCUCCCAAGGCUAAAUACUACCUGAUGACCGAUAGUGAAGCAGUACCGUGAGGGAAAGGUGAAAAGAACCCCGGGAGGGGAGUGAAAUAGAACCUGAAACCGUGUGCCUACAACCGCUCAGAGCCCCUUAUGAGGGUGAUGAGGUGCUUUUUGUAGAACGAGCCAACGAGUUACGGUAUGUAGCAAGGUUAAGUACUUAAGGUACGGAGCCGAAGGGAAACCGAGUCUGAAUAGGGCGACUAGUUGCAUGCCGUAGACCCGAAACCGGGUGACCUAUCCAUGGCCAGGUUGAAGCGAGGGUAAAACCUCGUGGAGGACCGAACCACGUUGCUGUUGAAAAAGCAUGGGAUGAGCUGUGGAUAGCGGAGAAAUUCCAAUCGAACCCGGAGAUAGCUGGUUCUCUCCGAAAUAGCUUUAGGGCUAGCGUCGAGUAUGAGUAGUGGAGGUAGAGCACUGAAUGGGCUAGGGGGCAUAGCGCUUACCGAACCUUAUCAAACUCCGAAUGCCACAUACUUUGAGCUCGGCAGUCAGACUACGAAUGAUAAGAUCCGUGGUCAAAAGGGAAACAGCCCAGAUCGUCAGCUAAGGUCCCAAAGUGUAAGUUAAGUGGGAAAGGAUGUGAGAUUUCUAAGACAACUAGGAUGUUGGCUUAGAAGCAGCCAUUCAUUAAAAGAGUGCGUAAUAGCUCACUAGUCGAGAGAUCUUGCGCCGAAAAUGUAACGGGGCUAAACUUACCACCGAAGCUACGGGCUUGAACUUAGUUCAAGCGGUAGGAGAGCGUCGUAACCGGGCUGAAGUCGUACCGUAAGGAGCGGUGGACUGGUUACGAGUGAGAAUGUUGGCAUCAGUAGCGAGAUGUGGGUGAGAAUCCCACAGGCCGAAAACCUAAGGUUUCCUCAGGAAGGUUCGUCCGCUGAGGGUUAGUCGGGACCUAAGCCGAGGCCGAAAGGCGUAGGUGAUGGACAACUGGUUGAUAUUCCAGUACCACUACCAUCGUUAUUAUCGAUGGCGUGACGCAGGAGGAUAGUGUGUGCUAGCUAUUGGAUGCUAGUCUAAGCGUUUAGGCAGUGAGAGUAGGCAAAUCCGCUUUCAUAAUGCUGAGGCGUGAUGGGGAAGGUUCCACGGAACCGAAGUACAUGAUUCCACGCUGCCAAGAAAAGCGUCUAGAGAGAGAAGUAGUGCCCGUACCGCAAACCGACACAGGUAGGUGAGGAGAGAAUCCUAAGGCCGGCGGAAGAAUUACAGUUAAGGAACUCGGCAAAUUGACCCCGUAAGUUCGCGAGAAGGGGUGCCUACGAGAGUAGGCCGCAGAGAAUAGGCCCAAGCAACUGUUUAGCAAAAACACAGGUCUCUGCUAAAGCGUAAGCUGAUGUAUAGGGGCUGACGCCUGCCCGGUGCUGGAAGGUUAAGGGGAACACUUAGCGCAAGCGAAGGUGUGAACUUAAGCCCCAGUAAACGGCGGCCGUAACUAUAACGGUCCUAAGGUAGCGAAAUUCCUUGUCAGGUAAGUUCUGACCCGCACGAAUGGCGUAAUGACUUGGGCACUGUCUCAACUGUAAAUCCGGCGAAGUUGUAGUGCGAGUGAAGAUGCUCGCUACCCGCGAUUGGACGGAAAGACCCCGUAGAGCUUUACUGUAGCUUAGCAUUGAGUUUUGGUAUUGUCUGUACAGGAUAGGUGGGAGACUAGGAAACCAGGGCGUCAGCCUUGGUGGAGUCAACCUUGGGAUACCACCCUGACAGUACUGAAAUUCUAACUGGCGGCCAUGAAUCUGGUCACAGGACAUUGUUAGGUGGGCAGUUUGACUGGGGCGGUCGCCUCCUAAAAAGUAACGGAGGCGCCCAAAGGUUCCCUCAGAACGGUCGGAAAUCGUUCGAAGAGUGCAAAGGCAGAAGGGAGCCUGACUGCGACACCCACAAGUGGAGCAGGGACGAAAGUCGGGCUUAGUGAUCCGGUGGUACCUCGUGGGAGGGCCAUCGCUCAACGGAUAAAAGCUACCUCGGGGAUAACAGGCUGAUCUCCCCCAAGAGUCCACAUCGACGGGGAGGUUUGGCACCUCGAUGUCGGCUCGUCGCAUCCUGGGGCUGAAGUAGGUCCCAAGGGUUGGGCUGUUCGCCCAUUAAAGCGGCACGCGAGCUGGGUUCAGAACGUCGUGAGACAGUUCGGUCCCUAUCCGUCGCGGGCGUAGGAAAUUUGAGAGGAGCUGUCCUUAGUACGAGAGGACCGGGAUGGACUGACCUCUGGUGUACCAGUUGUUCCGCCAGGAGCACAGCUGGGUAGCUAAGUCGGGAAUGGAUAAACGCUGAAAGCAUCUAAGCGUGAAGCCAACCUCAAGAUGAGAUUUCCCAUAGCGUAAGCUAGUAAGAUCCCUUGAAGAACACAAGGUUGAUAGGUCGGGGGUGUAAGCAUGGUAACAUGUUCAGCUGACCGAUACUAAUAGAUCG